rnacentral:rRNA from 1 species
AUGGAAGAAGCGUGGCCGGCCCUCGGCCCGGCGGCCGGCGACGCGGCCUUCCCGCCCCCGCCACCGCCCGGCGCAGCGCUCGGUGGCCCCGUGGCGUGGGGCGCGGCCGCGACGGCGCGGCGGGAGGCGGUGGCCAAGGAGUCGCCCGCGCAGGCCGUGAGCCGGAUCGUGUCCAGCUGCGCCAACUCGAGCGGCCUGGCCGUGGCCGUCGUCGACGCCAACGCCGUCAUCUCGGGCGGCGCCGCGCUGGCCUCCGCCGCGGGGCGGCUCGUCACCGUGCCCGAGGUGCUCGAGGAGGUGCGCGACGCCGCCGCGCGCCGGAGGCUGGCGCUCCUGCCCACCCCCGUCGAGACCGUCGAGCCCGCGCCCGAGUUCGUCAAGAAAGUUGUCAAGUUUGCCAGGGAAACAGGAGAUCUCCAGACACUUUCAGAUGUUGAUAUGAAGAUUAUCGCUCUAGCAUACAUGUUGGAGGCUGAGGUCCAUGGGACCAGCCAUUUGCGGGAGCAGCCACCUCCACUUCACGUGGUCAGCGUCCGGACCUUGCAAGAGGCACCACUGCCAGGCUGGGGCUCUAAUGUGCCUAACCUAGCAGAGUGGGAAGCAUUGGAUAAGAUGUCUGAGGCAGGCGGGGAUCUUAAUUCUCGGAUCCUCCCACUGAAGGAUCUUGAGAACCAAGAAAUCCCUACAAGCGAGACCAACAGUAUUUCUGAGACACAAGGCGGUGAAGAGUUUCAGCCUUCAAAGAAGGAUGCAUGUAUUCCUUGGGAAGAUGAUGAGAACAAUGAAGGUUGGUUGCCUGCUGUUGGCCGCACCACGCACAGAAAAUAUUUGCGGAGGAAAGCGAGGCGUGAUGCCCUCAAGGCAUCUGAACAAGGUUUUGAGACAAGUUCUGUUGCUCCAUCAGUCGAUGAAGAUAACUUGUCUGAAAAUGGUUUGGAUUCAGUGGAUGGCCCUUCUGUUGUUCCAGAGAAAACAAGGUCAAAUACUGACAGCUUGGAAUUUCCGGAAGAGGAUGAACCCAAAAUUGUUGGAGAUCAACUAGCUAAUGGGGAGAAUGUGGUAGGCAAUACUGGUACUGUUGAGGGCAGAAAUGAUACUGAUGCAUGCACUGAACAAUUGGAUAAUUUGGAUAUAAAAAGUGGGACAGAGGAAGGUGUGAGUGCAUCUUUUGUCGAUGAUGAGAGCAGUGAGCAGAGUUGGGCCCUGAGGUCCUUAUCUGAAUCUACUGUAGCGUGUGUUACUAGUGACUAUGCCAUGCAAAACGUUAUCCUCCAGAUUGGUCUCCGUCUCUUGGCACCAGGUGGCAUGCAAAUACGGCAGUUGCACAGGUGGGUUCUGAGGUGUCAUGCUUGCUACAAGGUGACACAAGAGAUUGGAAAAAUAUUCUGUCCAAAGUGUGGCAAUGGUGGCACCUUGCGAAAGGUUUCAGUAACAGUUGGUGAAAAUGGGAUCACUAUGGCUUCACGGCGCCCGCGUGUUACUCUCCGAGGCACAAAAUUUUCCCUUCCAAUGCCCCAAGGUGGAAGAGAUGCCGUCAUUAAGAAUCCCAUUUUACGUGAAGACCAACUUCCCCAGAAGGUUCUGCAUCCUAAAUCGAAGAAGUCAAGCAAGCUGGGGGAUGAUUUCUUGGGCGCUGAGGACAUAUUCACGCACAGCGGCGAGAAGAAGGUGGAGCUGAAACCUCCAGUAAGGAAGGCGCUCGCAAUGUUCAGCGGGAAACGGAAUCCGAACGACAACCACUUUUCUCGCAAGAAGAACUAA